rnacentral:tRNA from 1 species
UGGGGUGUAGCCAAGCGGUUAAGGCAACGGACUUUGACUCCGUCAGUCGUAGGUUCAAAUCCUGCCACCCCAGCCA